rnacentral:tRNA from 1 species
GAGGCAUUAGCUCAGCUGGUUAGAGCGUCGGAUUGUGGUUCCGAAGGCCGUGGGUUCGAACCCCAUAUGCCUCCCA